UCUCUGUCGGCGGAAGUGAUGGGUUGUCUGAGGUAUCGCUGUCCAUGCCAGUAGGUGGGCUUCAUGAAGGUUCUCAGGAAGCUUUCGUGCUCGAAACCUUUGGGAACAUUCACCCUACAGCAGAAUGCCUCCCGCUCGUUCUUGGCUUCAGGCGCUGGGAAAGCAACAACCAUGCCGGCCCCUCUCUCGGGGGGGAAUUUUUUUUUUUUUAAGAUUAUAUAUAUUUGUCAGAUCACAAGUAGGCAGAGCAGCAGGCUGAGAGAGGGGGAAGCAGGCUCCCUGCUGAACAGAGAGCCCAGUGCGGGACUUGAUCCCAGGACCCUGAGAUCAUCACCGGAUCAGAGGCUUAAUCCACUGAGCCACCCAGGUGCCCCUCUGGGGGGCUCCCCCCUGCCCACAUUUUAGUUGCCACCUUGUCUCUCACCAGACAAGGGGAGGGUUGCUGGUGUGAGGAACAGUCUUUCUGGCCUGAAACAAAGCAGUGCCACCCACUAAACUUCGUCUAGUUUCUAUCCAGCAGUGUAGAGGGCUCAAAUGAAACAGGGCCCCGAAUCUAGAACCAAGUUCACAGAUCAUCCCCCCCCCCCCACCUGGAAGCUGUGCCUAGGCCUGUUGGGACCUUUUUCACAGACCCACAGAGUUUGCUGCCACUCGGGUGAGGUUACUGAGAGAAGAGCCGAGGCCCCAAGGCUCUGUUCUAGUCUCACAUUUGAGGUUGGGGGCUUUCUAACUACCCAUGCCCAGACUGAUGAAAGCAGACCCUUGGGGAGGUCAGGUUGGAGCCUCCUUGUUUCAAAAGCUCCUCUUGUGGGUCACCUGGGUGGUUUAGUGGGUUAAGCAUCCAACUCUUUUUUAAAAAUUUAUUUACUUAUUUGAGAGAGAGAGAGCAUGAAGGGGUGUGGUCAGAGCGAGAGCAGACCUGCAGGUGUUGACGGAGCAGUUCAAAAGCAACCUGGCCACUUCCCCUUUGCUGGGGUGAGAUUCUAGAAUAGAGAGAGAAAAGCCAUAUCGGUGCCAGCUGUGACUCCAUUUCCCUUCACGUCUAACUCCCCCUCCCCCACACCUUUUUUCUUUUAAAACCUGCUUACUCUUGGGAGUCUUUUGUUCUAUUUUUUUAACUUAGCUUUUUGAGGUCAUUGUAGAUUCACAUGCAACUUAAGAAAAAAUGCAAAUUGAUUCCUCUGUAUACCUUACCCAGUUUCUCCCAAUGGUAACCUCUUAAACAAUUAUUGCACAGUAUCAUAGCCAGGAUAUUGACACUGUUACAGUCAGAAUACCAAACCGUUCCAUCACAACAACUUCCCCUUCCCACCACACCCCCCUGCCCUGGCAACCACUGAUCCAUUCUCCCGUUUUCAUAAUUUUAUAAUUUUGUUACUUCAGGAAUGUUAUCCAUAGAAUUAUUACAAUAGGUAAUUUAGGGGCAUUGGCUUUUUUUAUGCAACAUAAUUUAUUGAAGUGUUGCAUGUCUGAAUAGUUCUUUAUUGCUGGGUAGAUUCCACAAUAUGUAUAUAUCACGGUUUGUUUAAACAUUCACCCAUUUUGAGACCUCUGGAUUGUUCCAGUUUGCACUACUGUGAAUAAAGUUGCUACGAACAUUUGUGUGUAGGUUUUUGGGUGACCAUACGUUUUCAUUUCUUUGGGACAAAUGCCCAAGAGUACAAUGUUUUGGUUGCAUGUUUAGUUUCUCAGGAAACUGUCAAACUGUUUUCCGGGGUGGCUGUACGGUGUUUUGUUCCCACCAGCAGUGUACGAGCAAUCCAGUGUCUUCACACAUUCUUGCCUACUUUUGAUAUAUCCCUGUUAUUUUUUUAUUUUUAUUUUUUAGUCAUUCUGAUAGGUGUAAAGUGAUGCCCCACUGUGGUUUUAAUGUGCAUUUCUCUACUGGUUAAUGAAACUGGACAUCCUCUCAUGUGUCUCUUUGCCAUCUGUAGGAGACACCCGUGUUUUGAUUGUUCCUGGAACCACUCACUUUCUCUCAGGAUCUGUGGAAGAGGAAGACUCUUCGGAACAGUGGGAAAAAAUUAGUCCUGGGAAUCCAAAGAUGUGAAUCUUCAUUUCCACUCCAUUAAAAGUGACCCCGAGUAAAUUCUGUCAUUUCUUUAGGCCUGAAUUUCUUCGUCUGUAAAAUGAAGUGAUUUGAACUGUAUUUUCCAAAUUGAAUAUUCUACCACUCCAUGACUCAAUUCGAAUGAAUAUCCAGUUAUAAACAUCGAUUGAUAAAGCUACAUUUCCUACCCUCACUUAGUAUCUGUUUCCAAAUAAAAAUAAUCUUACAGAAUCAUAA